rnacentral:rRNA from 1 species
UUAAAAGUGCGGGUGUUAGCCUCGUGAGGGGGUCCGAACUGAUUUUCUUGAGUGCAGGAGAGGAAAGCGGAAUUCCCAGUGUAGCGGUGAAAUGCGUAGAUAUUGGGAAGAACACCAGUGGCGAAGGCGGCUUUCUGGACUGUAACUGACGCUGAGGCUCAAAAGCUAGGGUAGCGA